rnacentral:rRNA from 1 species
GUGAACGCUGGCGGUAGGCCUAACACAUGCAAGUCGAACGGCAGCACAGUAAGAGCUUGCUCUUACGGGUGGCGAGUGGCGGACGGGUGAGGAAUACAUCGGAAUCUACUUUUUCGUGGGGGAUAACGUAGGGAAACUUACGCUAAUACCGCAUACGACCUACGGGUGAAAGCAGGGGAUCUUCGGACCUUGCGCGAUUGAAUGAGCCGAUGUCGGAUUAGCUAGUUGGCGGGGUAAAGGCCCACCAAGGCGACGAUCCGUAGCUGGUCUGAGAGGAUGAUCAGCCACACUGGAACUGAGACACGGUCCAGACUCCUACGGGAGGCAGCAGUGGGGAAUAUUGGACAAUGGGCGCAAGCCUGAUCCAGCCAUACCGCGUGGGUGAAGAAGGCCUUCGGGUUGUAAAGCCCUUUUGUUGGGAAAGAAAAGCAGCAGGUUAAUACCCCGCUGUUCUGACGGUACCCAAAGAAUAAGCUCCGGCUAACUUCGUG